GUCACUUUGCAUAAGUUCAGUCACAACAUAGCUGAACGUUGGGAGAUUAAGGUUGAAAACUAAAAUAUUAAUGAACACUAGGUCAACAAUGCUGUUAUACUUCAGAUGUAGCUUCUAUGUUCAGAAAGGUGUGGUUGAACUGCAGCGUCAGCAGCCUCCUGGUCUCCAAAGCCCCAAUACUGAGGACUCUUUUAUGCAGAAGAAAACUGAGCCACUUUGCUACAUCUGACAUUUUAAUUUUUCAACAUGAAUUUGUAAAAAUACAACUUUGUCCAUCUCAAAUAUUUCCAAGGCUUUUUGGCUUAUUUUGAAUCCAACGUACAGGGUUUUAAUUUCUGCAGUCAAGCACAGACCAAUCUAUUAUAGCAAAUAGCUAACUGCCCACAUCUCUAUCUUGCAAUAGAGAAGGACAGAAAGCAAUAAUUUAAGCAGGUAAACACAAUAAAAAAAAACAAUCUGUAGAGAUUUAUCAGUUAACAACUGAUAGCCAAACAUGUCUUGUAACUGUUGUAUGUAGAUGACAUUUUAUGAAAGGUUAGAUACUGCAACUAUACUUUGUUUCUUUUGCCAUGGCAUAUGUGCUUUUUAAAUAAUAUUUAAACUUU